rnacentral:rRNA from 1 species
AUGGUCCUACGGGGGGCAGCAGUGGGGAAUAUUGCACAAUGGGGGAAACCCUGAUGCAGCAACGCCGCGUGAAGGAAGACGGUUUUCGGAUUGUAAACUUCUGUUCUUAGUGAAGAAUAAUGACGGUAGCUAAGGAGCAAGCCACGGCUAACUACGUGCCAGCAGCCGCGGUAAUACGUAGGUGGCAAGCGUUGUCCGGAAUUACUGGGUGUAAAGGGAGCGCAGGCGGGAAGCCAAGUCAGCUGUGAAAACUACGGGCUUAACUUGUAGACUGCAGUUGACACUGGUUUUCUUGAGUGCAGUCG